rnacentral:rRNA from 1 species
GAUGAACGCUGGCGGCGUGCCUAACACAUGCAAGUCGAACGGAGAAGCGGAGCUUUCUCCUCGGAACAGUGGCGGACGGGUGAGUAACACGUGAGCAACCUGGCUCUAUGAGGGGGACAACAGUUUGAGACGACUGGUAAUACCGCAUGACGUAUCGUGUUGGCCUCUUCCUGAUACCAAAGAUUUUAAUGCUUAGAGAUGGGCUCGCGCCUGCUUCGAUAGUUUGGAGGGUUACGGGCCACCAAGCUGACGAACAGUAGCCGGAGUGAGAGGGUGAGCGGCGACAUUGGGGCUGGGACACGGCCCGGAAUCCUACGGGAGGGGGGAGUGGGGGACAGUGGAACAUGGCGGGAACCCUGAAGCAGCGAGGACGGGUGAAGGAAGAAGGUUUGGGGAUUGAUAUCCUCAGGUAACGGAGAAAAAAAUGAUGGUACCCGUUCAGAAAGCCACGGCUAACUACGUG